GGGCAGGUGGCCGAGUGGUCGAAGGCGCUCCCCUGCUAAGGGAGUAGGCGGCUUAUACCCGUCUCGAGGGUUCGAAUCCCUUCCUGCCCGCCA
rnacentral:tRNA from 1 species